GACGAACCGUGCGAACGUUGUUCGGAAUCAUUGGGCUUAAAGGGCGCGUAGGCGGGCAUGCAAGUCAGGGGUGAAAGCCCACGGCUCAACCGUGGAAGUGCCUUUGAUACUGCGUGUCUUGAGCGAGGUAGGGGCGUGCGGAACUUCCGGUGGAGCGGUGAAAUGCGUAGAUAUCGGAAGGAACACCGGUGGCGAAAGCGGCGCGCUGGACCUCUUCUGACGCUGAGGCGCGAAAGCCAGGGGAGCAAACGGG
rnacentral:rRNA from 1 species